UAGUUGCUUUAAAUUCUUGUACUUCAUCAAGCUUUAUAGUGAGAAAUGAUGUGCAUGAAUUUUACAGUAUGGAAUUGUGAACUGUUUGUUUCUCUGUUUCAUUCUUGUAUUUGAAUUGUUCAGAAUGGUCCUCUGUAAUGGUUGAAUGUUCUACACCGAGUAUCUUUGCAAUAUGAAGUUGCAUGCCUAUUUUGUUUAACAAAAUGCCUGCAUGUUCAACUGAUUUUCUUUUUUUUCUUUUUUGCUGAUAAUGCAUCUAGGUCGUAGUUCUCGUAGUGGAGGGACGCCUUUACAUCAUGCAUCAAAACGUGGCCUGGAAAAUACUGUGAUAUACAGUGUGGCCAGCAUCUGAUACAAUUGUAGCAUUCCGCGGCUACUAUCAUCGUAGCUCUGCUGUAGGGAUUGUACUACCAUGAUAGUAGGAUAUUGACUUGGGGGGGGGGGGGGGUGUUAUCACUAUUAUGGAGUACCUUUAGCUUCUUCCUCUACCUCUAUUAUCUUUCACCACGUUUCUUUCGUCUGCAUUUUCUCUGUUAAUUGCAUCUUGUAAAAUUUCCAAAAUAGGCUAAUGUUUUAUCUAUGGAUCAGAGUAUAACUUUUCUCGUAAAAAACAGGUAGCAUCUUGUUUUUGAAUCUCGUACCUUGUAUUAUGUGCCUUGAAAAUUUGGGUAAAUAUUUGGAAUGUUUUGGCAAUGGUUUUUAUCUUAACGUAGAAACCUCUUAAGAAAUCUUAGAUUUGGAAAUGGGAAUGGUCUGUUAAGAUUUUGAGCUGAAGCUUCUCUGUUUAUAGACUCCAAAUGUAUAUAUUAGGAAUUCCACUUAUUGAUACAAUAAUUGUUUGUUCCUUUCAAGGUUGUUUUUCCUGGGAAAAUAUUCAUUCAAUUGAGAAACAAACUUUGUGUUCCUUUUUCAAUGGGAAGGUGGAAAAUCGGACUCCGGAUGUCUACAAGGAGAUACGGACUUGGAUUAUGAAGAGGUUUCAUGCCAAUCCAAGCACAAACAUUGAACUGAAAGAUCUGUCGGAGCUGUCUAUUGGGGAUAUAGAUGCAAGAUGUUGACAAGGCAGAGCAAAUAGACUCUUUAAUUGAAAAGUUUUAUCAGUUACAACAUAAGCAAUCCUCUGUACUAUUAGUUCCAAGAGCCAACGUGUCAACAGCGGCAGUGCCUUCAGGCCUAUUUCCGGAGUCGAUCACAGAAGAGUUGGUAGAACAAGAGGGACCUGCAGUUGAGUAUCAUUGCAACUCUUCUUCUGUUGAUUGUUCUUGCAGUUGAGCAGGUGAUGGGAAGGUCUUCACCAAAUGACAAGCUACAGGCCUAUAAAAGGACAGUCUGCUGGACCAGCGUAGGAGAAGUGCAGACAUCGAGGCUGAUUUUUCGAUGAAAUUGGCUGAUAUGUUAAAAUAGUUCAAUGAAUGCUCUAGUUCUUUGAGUAGGCACAAAGAGAUGGACAGAGAGCUUGAAUUGAAGGUAGAAUCUUAUCAUCAGGAGUUAUGUUUUGCUCGAGAUGAUGCUUCUGCUUCCGAACAACAAUAUUCACCAGAAAUCUCAACCAUUUCUAAACUUGUUGAUUUGUACAAGGAGAGUUCUGAGGAGUGGUCCAAAUUGGAGGGAGUGAUAAAGGCUUUGGAAACCCAUUUAAGUGAAGUGGAAAGUGAUUACAAAGACAAGCUUGAGAAGGAAACUGCCGCUCGGAAGGAGGCGGAAAAGGUGUCUGUAGAGUUGAAGGAAAAACUUGUAAAAUGUGAGGCAGAACUUAAGUCAAGUAGAAGAGCUAACGAGCUGGAUAUUAUCCAUUGAGUAGCUUUACCACUGAAGCCUUGAUGUACACUUCCAACACAAAUGAUAUUGCUGGAGAUAAUGAGAGGAACUCGCUUCCCUUCACCACAAAAACAGAUCAGAUAAUAUUCCACAAGAACAACCAAGAUGGAAGAAGAUAUCCUUUGAUUUUAGUAUUGCUCAAAAGAGUGCAGUCAUACAAAAUAGUAACUUGAGGCUACAACUCUCCAAGAUAGUAACUUUAGGUUACAACUCUCAAAUGACUACACAAAUUACAAGCUACCCUUCUCUUCCUUUUCUUUUCCUAUUUAUACAAGCAGAUGCAAGUACACUUUAAUUAAUGCUAGCUGUUGCUGUUCUUGUCAGGUACUGCCAACAACUUCUGCUCCACCUUCAGCUGCGUUGUUGUGGUUGUUUGCCCUCACUUUGCUGCGCCUGCUAUACACCAAGAUAGGUGGGUCAGGUUUGGUGUAGCCGUUGUGGUCCUUUACAGAUAAUCUAGCAAUGGUACCACAUAUCCCAACAGGUCUUACUUAUGCCAAAUCUCGUCUAGGGGCGACACUUGGCUUGGGUCGACACUAACUAAGAAAUGAAUGCAAAAAACAAGUAAAAAGAAGCACGACACAAGGAGAUGUUGACGCGGAAAACCCAGGAAUAAGGUAAAAAACCGCGGGUAGCUAUGAGGCUAUCAAUCCACUAAGUAUCCUAAAUAAUUUGUAUAAUAGUUUAUGCUUUGUAAGAGUGAAAGAGAA